rnacentral:tRNA from 1 species
AGCCCUGUAGUCUAGCGGCCAAUGCGAAAGCGGCUAUGGAUGACUGCCUCUGGAGCAGUAUACCCAGGUUCGAAUCCUGGCAGGGCUA